GUGUUUGCUUCAGCAGCACAUGUACUAAAAUUGGAAUGAUACAGAGAAGAUUAUCGAGGCCCCUAGGCAAGGAUGACAUGAAAAUUCGUGAAGCGUUCCAUAGUUGU
rnacentral:snRNA from 1 species